UAAAGAAAUACAUGUAGGAGGAGGAGACACGGGGGAGGGCCUCCCGUCUCCUUAAGCUCUCCUCGUGGGACAACUCCUUCCCAUGGUAAUCACAAAUAAUUUCUCCUUUUUUAAAGGGCAUGGUGGUGACGACUCCUCCGCCUUUGUCCCCAACGGUCUGGAUCUCCAGUCCUUUCCAAGACUGCUGGACCACCGACAUGACCAGCUGCUGGUCACUGGUGACGGCGGACAGCGCCCUCGAGAGCUCUCACUCUGCCAGGACGCCGUCCACCGUCGGCCCCGCACCUCCGCCAGGCCUACCACCCUCCCCUCUGUGACAAACCUGGCGCGCGACUCCAAGGCACGAGCCACCUCCUCCAGGACCAGAGCCUCCUCAGCGCCGCUCAUGCAGACCUGCCUCAAGUGCCCUGAGAGGUCCUCCUGAACCGUCAGGCACCCGAGGCAGUGUACAGCAACGCUAUGGUCAGUGUUGUCCAUCGUCGUUUCGAAAUAGUUACCUCAGGUCGACACGGUGGGCGGAGUCGUAAGCAUAUUUUUUAAAUCAUUUAUUGUUUUCAAUUUAUUUCAUACUUGUAUUACUAUUAUUUUAUUAGUAUUAAUGUUUUAACUUAUUGUAAUAAGUGAAGAUACAGAUAAAGACAGUAUUUGGAUUUUGACAAUCAUUUUAUUGCUGGAAAAUGUGUAAAUCUGUAAAAAUGCUAUUGAAUAAACUCAAUGAAACGGAAAA
rnacentral:lncRNA from 1 species